AGGCUCCUGAAGAAGUACAGACUCUGAGGCUGCAGCAGGACGUUUCAGAAUGGCAUCAGAUGUACGGCAGUGGCCAAGCAGCUGGACUCGUGGUACGGAGAUGGAGUCAGUGGGCACAGAUGAGGAAAGAAGACACGGAGCAAUGGCCAAACAUAUGGUUUGGGUCUGACUAAGCACUACAGAUGGAGGCUGCGAGCACAGAUGGUGCACCUACUGGCAGCUUGAAAACGUAUCAGCGGGACGGUUUGAUGGUGCUGCGUUGAAUUCACUCAGCGGUCGUGUCUUCGGAUGAAAGAGGGUCACGUCAAGUUCAGUGACAUUUAAGUCCUCACAGACCUGAAGAAUAAUUUUCUGGUGCACUGGAGAACCUCUCUUGUUGUGGCUCCGCACUAAUUAUGGCAGCCGGACGUUCGAGUUUCCUGCACAAAAGAAAGUUUCCAGUUAUCGUGGCUGCAAAAACCCAGAAUGUGGAACAAGAGGAGACGAGCUGGCAGAGAUCCUCUGGCAGAAAUCUAAUCUGUUUGGAUAAACACAACAUGCAGCCAGCGCGGACAACGCCAAGUGCUCCUCCAUAUUGAGUCCAUACGCGGAUUUCUUUCGAGGGCCUGGUCAACAUCCGGCUUGUUUGUGCCUCGUCUUUAAUGUUCGGGAACAGCUGACUGCGUGUUUACGCGUUGCACAUUCCUUUUUUUUUUUUCAACCACAUCAAGUGAUGGAGCUCAGUGAAUGUUGCCACAAAGAAAACAAAAAAAAACACGGAUCUAUUUUCACUUUGAACUCUCUCUUUUUUGUGGUUGAUGUUUUUAAGUAAGCAUACGAAACCGUUACUCUUUUAAUAAUUAUUUUUAAGAUGUUUUAUAAACAUUAUUGUUGUUAGUUUUUUUACAGUAGUAAUUGCACUUACAAAGUCAGAAAUAAUAGAAUAUGAUUUGAAUUAAAUUCAAUGACAAAACUAACGAAACAAACACUUUUAUCAGCAUUUUUAUCAGCAAAUUCUUAUUUUAAAGUCCCCCUCUAGUCUAAAAUGCAUUUUUCUUCUGGUUCCUGCAGUUGAAUGUUUGAGCUUCACUGUGUAAAAUGACGUCUACGUAGAGUUUGACACUAGAAUUUUUUUUUUUUUCACAAGUGUGAAUUUUCUCUUUGCUUGUUGAAAAUCUGAUUUUAGGAGGCGGGGCCUUCAAGGUUGAUUUGUGACAUCACAAAUAGUUUGGAAGCCAAUACUGGUCCAGUAUUCAGCAUAAACAAGAUGUUUGGACUUGAAGCCUCCAGUGCCGUGAGGACGAAGUCCCCAGUGAAACAGGAGGCAUCUUGUGUCCAGCAGUUUAAUUUGUGAAACAUAAACAAUUAGUUGCAUUUUCAUAUAUUCUGUUAUGUUUUAAAUGUGGAAGAAGGAGUAGGUGCCAUUUUAUGAAGGAUUUAACCGUGUGGAUUAUACUUCUUUUUUUUUUUUCUGUAAAAACCGUGACGGUAACAUUGGAGAAUUAUUUGCCUGACUUAAUUAUGUUCACAGAAAGUCUAUAAAUAAAUACAUGAAAUGAUCGAUGAAUGAGGGAAAGUUAGCUGAGACAGCCUUACUUCACAAAUCCCACCAAUCUGAGGGAGACGGAUGCCCCUUUGACAUAAAAACUACUUUUUGCGGCGCACUCGUUCUCCCUUUUCCUGUAAGAAGAUUUGAAACGUCGCUGUGGAUCUCUUCUGGCUGGUCAGAACUGCAAUUGCGGGUAGAUUUCCCCUCCAGAUAUAAUUUAUCAGCAUAAAUCAGCCAUGCUAUUGGAAUGAUUAGAAGGUUUGUCUUGGCUGCAAAGGCUACAGAACCCACCCACCUUGCCAGCUAACCAAUCUAUUCACCUGACCACAGCACCUCUGCUCACAUAAAUCUGUUGCUCCGCUCCUGCCUGCUGGCCCUUUUUUUUUUUUUAACAUUGUGUGUGCGUCUGUCUGUGUGGUUUUAUGUUCUAGUAUAUUUGCAUGCAUGCAUCUCUAGUGUGUGGAGAGUAAGAGUACGACCCAACCCAGUGUGUCCCGGACUGAAAUGUUUCUAUCUUGGAGACGGAUUGGAGGUUUCCUGAUCCGGGGCGUGCCAUGCACAUCCAUCACAGCGGCGGUCUGCUUUCCUGGUGAUUUAGGACUUACCGAAGCGGCCCUGCCGGUCACUGUGCUCUGACCACAGCCAUUCCAUCACCCUCCCACCUCCUAGUCUUAAUAUCACUGCACAGACGGCCAGGAGGCUCUCUGUAUCUCCCUGUGUGUGUGUGUGUGUGUGUGCGCGUGUUACUGUUUCAUCAGCAAUACUGAUAAAUCUGAACGCCAGAAGUUAGAAUAAACUGAAAGAUGAUGCAAUAAAGUUGGUGUCUAUAAAAAGAUAUUUAA